rnacentral:rRNA from 1 species
GAUGAACGCUGGCGGCGUGCCUAAUACAUGCAAGUCGAGCGAACGGACGAGAAGCUUGCUUCUCUGAUGUUAGCGGCGGACGGGUGAGUAACACGUGGAUAACCUACCUAUAAGACUGGGAUAACUUCGGGAAACCGUAGCUAAUACCGGAUAAUAUUUUGAACCGCAUGGUUCAAAAGUGAAAGACGGUCUUGCUGUCACUUAUAGAUGGAUCCGCGCUGCAUUAGCUAGUUGGUAAGGUAACGGCUUACCAAGGCAACGAUGCAUAGCCGACCUGAGAGGGUGAUCGGCCACACUGGAACUGAGACACGGUCCAGACUCCUACGGGAGGCAGCAGUAGGGAAUCUUCCGCAAUGGGCGAAAGCCUGACGGAGCAACGCCGCGUGAGUGAUGAAGGUAUUCGGAUCGUAAAACUCUGUUAUUAGGGAAGAACAUAUGUGUAAGUAACUGUGCACAUCUUGACGGUACCUAAUCAGAAAGCCACGGCUAACUACGUG